AAUAUGUAAUAAAGUAUAAAUAUAAACAGAGAGAGAUUAGAGUUCAAGUUAAAAUAAUCCUAAAAUUCCAUCAAUAUUUUAAAUUGUUAACAUAUGAAAUUUCUAUUUAAUUAAUGUAGUUUUAAAUAUCUAUAUAAGUAAUAUCAAAAUAUAUGAUUUUAAACUUGAUAAAUUAGUAUAAUUGAUAAAUAUACAAGAAAUUCAUGAAUAAAUCCUUUUAUUUACACAAAGUUGAGAUAAAGUAAUGAAUAUUUAAGUAGAUUGAUAUGGUUUGAAUUAAAAAUAUGUAAUUCAGUAAUUAGUUAAAUAUUGAAAUAAGUAGUCAAUUAUUAUAUUAUUGAGCGUUUGUAUUACUAUAUGGUAUUGUGGGUAUUUCGUAUUACAAGUGUAACAUGGAAAAUGGGUCAUUAGAAAAUGAUAUUAUUUGUAGGAAGUAAGUUGUCAACCAUUAUUUGUAAGCUUUGUUCAUUUUAAUGGAAUUUAAUUGGAAUAAAUAAAACUAUUGAAUAGUUAAUAUUCAAACUUUCUUGAUACCUUGAUAGAUUAGCUGCUAUAUCAAAUAGGCCAUCUUUUAUCGCUACUAAUUUUGCUACAUCAAACUUAUUUAACCUUGUGUUUAUGAAUAAACAAUAUUAAUGAAUUAUAAUUAUUCAUGUUUAUUGAAACCUAAUUCCACACUGAUCCUUACUUGAAUAUAAAUUUGGUGUUACAUAAAAUGCUUUGUCAUGUGUACGCAACAAUUUUUUAUGAAUAAAGAAAUUAUGAAUUAGACUUGGCACACAUACUUAGCAUGUUUAUGUUUAGUUAUUAAAUGAUUUAUAACAUACCGGGACAAACAUUGGUUACAUGAAAAUGUUAAUUGUUAUUUGGUUUUUGU